rnacentral:rRNA from 1 species
UGCGGAGGGGGCUAGCGUUGUUCGGAAUUACUGGGCGUAAAGCGCACGGGGGCGGACUGGAAAGUCAGGGGUGAAAUCCCGGGGCUCAACCCCGGAACUGCCUUUGAAACUCCCAGUCUUGAGGUCGAGAGAGGUGAGUGGAAUUCCGAGUGUAGAGGUGAAAUUCGUAGAUAUUCGGAGGAACACCAGUGGCGAAGGCGGCUCACUGGCUCGAUACUGACGCUGAGGUGCGAAAGCGUGGGGAGCAAACAGG